rnacentral:rRNA from 1 species
AGUGUAGGUGGCUCAUUAAGUCACAUGUGAAAUCCCCGGGCUUAACCUGGGAACUGCAUGUGAUACUGGUGGUGCUAGGAUAUGUGAGAGGGAAGUAGAAUUCCAGGUGUAGCGGUGAAAUGCGUAGAGAUCUGGAGGAAUACCGAUGGCGAAGGCAGCUUCCUGGCAUAAUAUUGACACUGAGAUUCGAAAGCGUGGGUAGCAAACA